UUCUUUAAAACAUCUAACUACACUUUGUGCUUUCUUUUCAAUUUUUCGAAACACUAUAAAAUCAUUUUUAUCAUUUAGGAUGAAGAAAAGUUUUCAACUCUCGCUCAUCAUUCUGAUUAUAUUUACUAUUCUUGUAUUAGGAGUGGUGGGGGAUGUGAAUCAAGGAAAAAGACAGUGUUGGGAAGAAAUUAAGGGUAAAGACCUUUGUAGUACUCGUCGCAAUGAGUGUUCGCCUAGAUGUAUAAAGAAGUAUCCAAAAGGAGGUUCUACUUGUGUGCCUACUCCCCAAGGAGGAAAGAAGUGUUUAUGCGGUCAUUUUUGUUAAUUGGUUUUAAAUACAAUAAAUCUUGAAUUAUAUUUAUAAGAAAAACCUUAUAAUAAAGUAAUUUAGUAUGUGACAUGAGUUUCAAGCCUACAUAAUUGUGUAAUUAUCGUUAUCGAGUAAUAAAAUAAUUUAUGGGGCA